rnacentral:rRNA from 1 species
AAUGAACGCUGGCGGCGUGUCUUAAGCAUGCAAGUCGUGUGGCAAGGGUAGCAAUACCCCUAGAGCGGCGGACUGGCGAGUAACGCGUGGGUGAUCUGCCCUUGGGUUGGGGAUAGCCAUUAGAAAUAGUGGGUAAUACCGAAUACGAUGGCGAGACUGCGGUCUUGUCAUGACAGGCUCUUAGGCGCCUCCCGAGGAUGAGCCCGCGUCGCAUUAGCUAGUUGGUGAGGUAACGGCCCACCAAGGCGAUGAUGGGUAGGCGGCCUGAGAGGGUGUACGCCCACACUGGGACUGAGAUACGGCCCAGACUCCUACGGGAGGCAGCAGCUAAGAAUAUUCCGCAAUGGACGAAAGUCUGACGGAGCGACGCCGCGUGGAUGACGAAGGCCGAAAGGUUGUAAAAUCCUUUUGUUGGGGAAGAAUAAGGCUGGGAGGGAAUGCCCGGCUGAUGACAUGAACCGACGAAUAAGUCCCGGCUAACUACGUGCCAGCAGCCGCGGUAA